CAGCUCCUUAAUCUAUAAAAUGAAAGGGUUGGACAAUCAGCUGUUUCCAAAGAGAGUUCCACAGAGCCUUGGAGUUUCCAUGGAGACGCCCUGGGGACCAGUUCAGUAGGUAAAGGCUCUGAGUCCUUUAUCCCACUCCAUACAGAGAAGAUUUCACUUUUUGGUUGCAUACAGUGGGCUCUACAUAAGAUUUCAUUUGAACAAAAGAGGCUGCUGCUGCGAAGAACUCGACAAUUGCUGGCCUGGGUGAGCUCUAAAGUUCCUUCUAGUUUACGAUGCCUCCUAUACUCAUGAAAAAGCCUCAGGCAUCCCGUCAGACCACAGUCAAAACACCCGCUGGUUCAUUCAUUCAUUCAUUCAUUUGUUUAUUCAUUCAUCAAAUAGUUCAAAGAACACUGAGUGCCUGCUAUUGCCAAGCAAAUAACAUUUGAUUGUCCAGGAACUUGCUGCCUCAGUUUCUCCCUAUGUCCUGCCCCUGCCAAUACUGGAAUGUGACACAGCUCAGGACUGGUACAUAGUGAGGGCUCCCUGGACAGGUCUGGGUAUUGCUUCCCCAUCAGAGCAUCCAGACUCCACCUGGUGCUGCUAAGGCCUGCGCUUGGCUGACAAAGCCCUGGGCUCUCUGUGCGGGCUUCCCUCGUGCCCCCCACCCAGCACUGCCAGCCUGGCUGGGCACAGUCCACCCCUGUUGUUGCUGUACCGAGAGGAAGCUGUUUUGCCCAGACAAGACACUUAAGCUAAGUGGCUAUUGUUACAUCAAUGGGCCUUGCCACCCAGCACCCCGGCCUUGAGCCCCGUACACUCACUCCCACACAUUCACGCUCAUGUUUGCCAAGUCACAGGCCAAUGCCGGGGGAGGCAGAGCGGGAAGGGCCAGGUGGAAGGCUGCUCAGCACCAAUGACAACAUGAAACAGAGUUCUCAGCUUCAUCUUGUUGGCUGUCUCAGAUGUGUUCCUAUCGGAGCAGAUGAUAAGUGAGAGGUCACUGAAGGUGAACACCUGCAGGUCCCCAGAUUAAUCACGUUGUGUUUGCCAAGUGUCACCGAAAGGUAGCCAUUUAUAUUGUUUCCUCAGUGAAAGGGAAAUGAUAAGCAUUUUGCAUUUUUGCUUUUUGAAUCUGAAUCAUUACAAAAGGUACAAAGUUUUGCAGACUUUAAAUCUGGUAAACAUGGGAAACUUUAGAUACUUGAACGUGCAUCUACAUUAUUCCAUUUUUCCUACAGGUUAUUCAGAGUUUGGAAAGAAAACAUGAGCCUUUCUGCUUUGUCAGCCCUCAAAAGACUUCUCAGUUUAGAACAAACUAUUUUAAAGGAAUAUGAUUUUUUGUAUGCACAUGGAUAUUAAGACUUUGAAUAAUCACAUUUGCAAAGCACUUUCUCUAUGUUUAUCUCGUCUAGCCCUUAGGGCAGCCCUCCGAGGUAGACAGAACAGGUAACAAUCUUGGGAAAUCUCAGAGAAGCCCCAAGUCCGGGGGCUGGUGGCUUGGCUGAGCCUGGCUGCUGCCAAAGUGGCUCCAGGUUGUGCACUUCCCAACGUUAGGGGUACACCCCAGACAGUCUCAGAGGCCCUUAACUAUGAUCAAUAUAAAAGUCAUGAAGAUGUGAACACUUCCAUUGAACUUGCCUCCAUUUCCAACCUCUAGCACGUCUUAGAGACAACGCAUCUUCAUCAGGUCCAGCCCUGGCCUGCGACUUCCCAGAAGUGGAGCCUUGACCCACAACUUCACUUUACUUCUCUCAAGCGGGAUCCAACAGAGAAAAAUUCCGCUCUGCCAGCCCCUUGGAGAUCAAAUGAAAUCAUGAGAUGGAUCUUGGGAAAUUCUGAAGUACUUUAAGGACAUUGGACAUAAUUACUAUAAGCUUAAAACUCCUUGCAAACAAGUCUUCCUACAAUUUGUCUUCACUCAAUGCUUUUAAGCUCUGCAGUGUGCCCUUUUGAACACGUCCAAAUUCAGUUCAGCCUUCCAGGUUUUAUAGGU
rnacentral:lncRNA from 1 species